CACCAGCACCUCAAGUGGUCAGGAUGAUUAUUGGGCCUAAAGCAUCCGUAGCCGGCUCUGUAAGUUUUCGGUUAAAUCUGUACGCUCAACGUACAGGCUGCUGGGAAUACUGCAGGGCUAGGGAGUGGGAGAGAUAGACGGUACUCGGGAGGAAGUGGUAAAAUGCUUUGAUCUCUCGAUGACCACCUGUGGCGAAGGCGGUCUAUCAGAACACGUCCGACGGUGAGGGAUGAAAGCGUGGGGAGCAAACGGGAUUAGAAACCCCAGUAGUCC
rnacentral:rRNA from 1 species